rnacentral:rRNA from 1 species
CCUACGGGAGGCAGCAGUGAGGAAUUUUCCGCAAUGGGCGAAAGCCUGACGGAGCAAUGCCGCGUGGAGGAGGAAGGCCUGUGGGUCGUAAACUCCUUUUCUCAGAGAAGAAGUUCUGACGGUAUCUGAGGAAUAAGCAUCGGCUAACUCUGUGCCAGCAGCCGCGGUAAUACAGGGGAUGCAAGCGUUAUCCGGAAUUAUUGGGCGUAAAGCGUCCUGAGGUGGCUUACCCAGUCGACUGUGAAAGCUCAAGGCUUAACCUUGAAACGGCAGUCGAAACUUGUAAGCUUGAGUACGGUAGGGGCAGAGGGAAUUCCCGGAGGAGAGGUGAAAUUCGUAGAUAUCGGGAGGAAGGCCAAAGGCGAAAGCACUCUGCUGGGCCGAUUACUGACACUGACAGGCGAAAGCUAGGGGAGCGAAAGGGAUUAGAUACCCCUGUAGUCCUAGCCGUAAACGAUGGAUACUAAGUGUUGCGCGACUCAAAACGUGCAGUGCUGCAGCUACGCGGUAGUAUCCGCCGUGGGAGUAGUGCCGCCGAGGUAGAACGUACAAGGAAGUUAGACGGCGUGAGACGUGCCGACGGACGACGACGAGGGAGGUAGG